rnacentral:hammerhead_ribozyme from 1 species
AUCCAGCUGUCGAUUCCCAAACAGGAUGAAACGUGCGUCUUAGAU